AAGCUUUAGACAGGCACAAUGGAAAGGCAACACAAGAAAUAAAAGCCUGUCUCAUUCCUCGUCCCCUUAUUCCUGAAAUUUUGCUAUCUCUGGUUUGAUGCAGGGUUUUGUGAAACCUGAAAGCUUGCAUGCAAGUAAUCCAGGACUGUGGAACCUAUGGGCCUUGCUGAUGGGAGUCCAGCAACAUCUUUCAUGCUUAACAGAAUAUAGUAUAUUGAUACAUUUCUUUUUUUCGAAACCAAAAAACCAAAUCUAGUUAUAAAAACCCUGCCAGGGUUAACUGGGAGUUAACUGGCUAUCUCAUAUUGGCCCAAGCUCCGAAAGUCUGGGGAUUGUAAGCUAAGGCUGGUGCCUUACUAGACAUGCACCAUGCUGAGUAAUGAUGCUGUGCAAUGUCACAGAUUGUGCUUGCUUACAACUUACUCUACAAGCACCCCCACUUUCCCUUGGCCUCUCAGGCCCAAAUCCAGAUGGGGAUGAUGGAGUGCCUGAGACCAGCAAAAAUGCCCCAUGUUGCCCUGGUCCUGCAUUGUCUCACAAACCCUUAAGGAUCAUCUGCUUCUUCUGGAACUGUAGUUUGUUAUGGGAAUGGUCAGUCUGUGAGAAGGGAAACUACAAUUCCCAGGAAUCUUUGCGGGAGGAAACAAUAUGCUUUAAACGUGCACUGAAUGUGCUUUAAAUACAUGGUGUUGAUUGUGGGUCAACAGAACUGGGGGAAACCAGUCCACUGUUGUCCCUGAUUAUACUUUUUCUUCUUCUCAUCAACAGGGAGGCUCCUAUAUUAUUGACUGAGGGGCUACACCCAACUGACAACAAAGACAAAUGCCAUUCAGUCAUCUUGUACUAACAGCCACUGCUGUCUUGUUUUUCCUUUUCUAACUCCAGCAGUUGUGUCAUUAAAAAAAUAAAUAUAAAAUGCUGGCCUCUCAGCUUUCACACAAAGGUUUGCCAUAUUUGCAGAGAGAGUUGCACUAUUAUGACCUUGCUUCACACGCCCACAAAUUUUAUGUUGCCUUAGUGCAUGCCCUAGAAGCUUUGCCCAAUGCCUGUGGUCCUUGCAGAACUACAGUCACUGCCAGGCAGCAGCUGAGCUUCUAGGUGAGGGGCAAUGAUAGAACUUGCUCAUACAAGUGCUGCUGACACUUUCCUCCCAUUUAGUGAGCGGUGUUGCAUUUCAGAAAGGAGAUAGGUGGGGCUGAGCAGGCUCAUUUGUCCAAAAAGCACUUGGCAAAACUGGAGUAGCAUAUCAACAAACUCUGGGUUUUCCUUCUGCCCCUGUCUUGGGAGGUUUUCUGUGUUUGCAGGACCUGGAGUUGCAGGUCUGUGGUCAUUAACUAGAAUUGCAUGAAGAGAAUGGAAGGAGACGGGGAUUAGCAGUUGCCUAUUCUAGUAUUUUUGGAGGUGAGAGGAAGGGUAGCUUUCAAUGCACUGCCUCCUUCUGCUGUUAAUCUUCUCCCCAUCUCUUCUCUCUGAUCCCUCAAGGCUGUUAACCUGGUUGUGAAAGAGAUACGCCACUCAUGCUUAGAGCAACUAUAUUUCUGCAACUGAGCCAUAGGAUUCCAAACAAGUUUUAAGUCCAAUUGAGCCUUGGCAUAAAUUUAACCCUGUUUAGUGAAGUGAAAUCAUUGAUGCUAGAGAAAAGACCUGGUAACUUUAAAAGAAAAAUCAGAUGGGAUUCUAAGCACUAAGUUACAUGGGAUGCUCAGUGUGUCUGUCAAGCUGCAGGAAUCUUUAUAAAAAGCUCUAAAUAGGAGUCAUAUGGGGGAGUAAUUGGGAUGGUGACACACCGAAAAUAGCGAUAAAUCUGCUAUCAGGAUUUACCCAUUUUGGUGUUCAGUGUAGCUAUUUACCACGCAACUAUCCUUUUCUACUCUGUGUUCAAGAUCUCUGAAGCAGGAUACUUCCAUUCAGAGGGUGAUCAUAGAUGGAUUGCACCUCCCUCCCACCUCAAAUCCUGGUAAAAUGCAAGCUCUUUCUUUUGUCCCAUUCCACCUAUUAUAAUGACAAGCAUUGUUAAAAAUUCAUUUUGUUGUUACUGAAGGGCAUAAAGAGCUAGGAUAAUGUGGCAUUUUUUCACACAUUAAAUGAAAAGCAUUUGUGCUGUUGUGAAUGAUGUUAAUAGAAGAUAGAAAGCUGCAUUUAUUUAUUUAUGUUCAGCUGGAUUAAAAUUGUAUGAGAACACGUGUCUUUGGUUUGUAAAUAUAAUUUUAAUUUCUCAGUAGCUAAUACACACACACACACACACACACACACACCCUUUCCUAGGGUGUAACAUAUGAAUUAGAUGGGAUUGUAUCCAAUACAGCAUUUGUGCAAGAAGAAAAGAGACGUUUUAAGUCAAAUGUACAUUCUUAGCCAUUUUAAAACUUGUGCUGCAAACCAAUUCAAGCAAAAAACCAAUAUUGAGCAUUAUGUGUCAAACCGUUCUAAAAGGUCACCAAGGGCGAAAUGAGAAGUGUGUGUGUGUGUAUAAAUAAAACAAACUGAAAGGGAAGGGAGUGAUAUGUUUGGGGAACCCCUGAAGAUGUGCAGAGAUACUACGGUAAUUGGUCUUCUGAGAACGAUCUGUGUGGCUGUUUAAGCUAGGUAGGCUAAGAGAACCAACAGGCAGGAAUCAAUCACAGAAUUGUAAGUCAGAAGGGAUCUCGAGGGUCAUCUAGUCCAACAGGAGGCAUGUGAAAACAUUUGAAAACAGACUCCAUCCAAGCUGCUAAGUGUGGGAAAAAAUGGAAAAUUGUUGACAAAGGGCGUGGGGCAUGCUGGCCAGCUAAGCUGUUUUUCUGAAUUUCAGAGGAAGACAGCAACGCAGAUGUUGAUGUUAACAUCAGGCUCUCCCUUUUGCUUGGGGAAAAAGAGAGAGAGGGAGAGAGAGAGCUGCGGUGGAUGUCCAAGAAAGAUACUGCUAUCAUUAUGCCUUUCCAGUUCUAUUUAAAGUCCGCGUAGGAGCCAAGAGGAGAAGCUCAGCAUAAACACCACCAGAUCAGGGUAGUACCAGGUGUCAGCUAGCCCUGCAAAGUCACUGAAAUGUCAAGGAUUGUUUUUCCUCUCCUCCCUUGCUUUCGUCUGACUGGGAACUGCCAGUGUUUAUUUAAAAGAUAUCCUUCGCAUUUGGCAAGGAUGCCAGUGGGGCAGACGUUAAUGGAUUAUUAUUUGGAGCUGGCAGGCUGCCAAGGAGACAAGGAUAGCUUGGGCUUGCUACCCAAAGCCCCUGCCAUUAAGCAUGAGAAAAAGAGUCCAAGUAUUGGAACUGCCGGGCCUUGUGGUUUUCAGAGUUAGGUUGAACACGGCUUUCCAAUAAAUGCUCUUUGCUCUUAUAUUAGAUCUGACCUACUAAAAUUCCGUAGGGGAGAAUGGAAAGAGGUUGGGGGCAUUCAGCUACAGCUUCAAGGUCCCAAAGCAAUAAUGCCCUAGUUUGGCUGGUUAGUCCGUUGGGUUUUCGUCAGCUGCAGCGUCAUGCCGGUGAACGGUGCAAGGAAUGUCUUUUUCCACAGACAGAGAGGACCCGAUCAGAUAGCAGCUAAAUGAAGUGGAGGUUUCCAUGCUCGUUUCCGAUGGGUCUUUGAUGCAACAAGUCUGUAAUGCUGAAACCAUCUGCUCUGGCUUGUGGAACUUGUCAUUCACAUGGCAUGUCAUUCACAUGGACAUUUUGCAUCAGGCAAAGCUAGCAGUUUCACUCGUCUUGUGAAAGCCUUGACAUACAGAGCCACAGGCCAGGAAAAAUCCUUAGGAAAUGAGUUUCCAUGGGCAAUUGUUGAAAUGUUUUUGAGAUGCUUUCUGGGCACAUCUUAAGCCAUCUGCCAGAACAGGACGACAUGUGCAAACCACACAAAGUCAGCUGCUGUUUUGACCUCAGCAGUUAAAUAUCUGUACUUGAAUUCAGCCUGGGACUACUGGAUCCGGCCACUUGACUCAAUGGCACAGGCGGAUAAUCAAAACAUUGGGAAAACUAGAAAUUGAGGCAUAUAUAUAUCAUACGUUUACAUGAAACUACAAACAGUUCUGUUAAUUGUAUGAGUUAAACCAUCACAAGGCUGCCUCUGCCAACCUGGUGCUAUCCACAUAUUUUUGAACUACCACUCCCUGUGGUUGAUGGAAGUUGUACUCCAAAAUAUCUGCUGUACUCAAAGACCAUAAUUCCAAGCCAUAAUGACCUGGAGGAGAAAGAACAAGUUUCUGUUCUGGCAGAAUCCGUCAGUCACUGGGGUCCUCCAAACAGGUUUGGGUUAUGUAAUACCCUAUGUCCCAUGAUCGCUGCUAUUUCGACAAUGCCUGGUUAGGAAGUGCAGGUCCGUGGCACUCCAUUCUUCACAGGAACCGUCACAGACAAGUAGCAAUGGCCUCAGGGCUUCUUGUUGAGAGGCAGGUGGAUCAUUCAGCUUCCCAGCAUGUUUAGGAUUUGCUGGAGCUUCCCUGCCUAAGCUGGUGCAAGGUGAGGAGUUGUCAUCAGCUCACAGUGGUCAUAGAUUGCCCUGUAUAUGAUUUGGUAUAAGUCGUUUGGAAACUAAGUUAUUCCAUAAAAAUCAUUCCAGGAAUAGCCUGUGAUUUUGUAGGCCAAAUAGACACACUGGGGCAUAUUUUGAUUACCAAACAACAACAACAACAAC
rnacentral:lncRNA from 1 species